UCUUCUCCUCCGAAGGGACGCCAGCGUUCGCCAGAGCCGCCACAUCUCGCGCCAUCCACCGAUCCCCCGCCGCCUCGCGCGCCAUCCGCCACCCGGUGAUCCACUCGGCCUCCGCCGCCGCCGAUCCACUCAUCCUCCGCCGCCGCUCAGCUUGGCCUCCGUCGACACCGCCGGUCAUGCUUCCCCGCGAACAAAUACAAGCGUGAGCAGCCCCCCACCGGUCCAAGAACGCGGGAACAGCCCCCGCCGCUACUGCCCGCCGGUCUGCCUCAACUGCCCACGCCAACCUCUCGAUCCCUCCUCUGCCCGCUGCAUCUCCCACGCCCUGGCGACCCAUCAUCCAGCGUGCCUCCGCGCCAGGACGCCGCUGCUCCUCAUUCAGUGCGGUGCUCCUCAGCAGCCGGCGGCCCUUGCUCCUGCGCGCCGGGCCGCCGCUGCUCCUCAUCCAACACGGCGCCCUGCCGCCACCGGCGGCCCUUGCUCCGUCGCCAGCGCGCCUCCGCGCCGGGCCGCCGCCGCUCCUCAUCCAGAGCCCUGUCGCCGCCUCGCGCGCCACUGCACCCGUCCGCCGCGAGCGCGCGUCCGCUCCACGCCUCCCCGCGCACAAAACGGCCAGACCUCCACACUUCCCACGACACAACCGAGGAUCUCUUUGUGCGAAAAAUCCCUCACCGAUUGGCGCGCCGAUGACAUCCAUAUCCUUUCCUCCGGUAAAUCAGGUUCAUAAAGGAGCAAGUAUUUUUUUUCAGUUAUACAGUAUAUACUAAUUUCUUCACUUGCCCAUGGUUUUACCUUCAUCCACAUGUGUCUCCCUUAGAAUUAGAGGAAUGUUCUCCAUUUAAUGGGAAAGCAACUGCCUGAUGUGAAAAUCUGUGAAAACAACAACUGAAGUGGGGUACAUCACUGGGAUUUUGUGGUGUGUCUCUAUCGGAAGUUUGAAGUCGUCCCGUGGCCUUCGUUACAUAGGACUAUGCGUGUCUGUAUAAUGGUCAAAGUGGUAUUCAGAAGUUCCUUGUUUCCAACCAAUGCAUACAUAUUUAGCUCUGUUCUCUAGCUGAAUUUCACCUAACCCAGUUCUUCAUAAUUUCCUACUCAAUUGGCUGUAGCUGUUUUAUUUAUAUUAACUAUGUUUAUUGGCACAAGGGAUUUUGAAAACGUGUCACUAAUUAGUCUUUUCGUGGCUGCUAAUGUGCUAACCAUAGCUAUCACAUAUAUCUUGAACUGCAAGGUGUAGAUGUACAAUUUGUUGAGUUCUGACUAUAAGCACUCAGUUGCUGUGAUAAAAUGAAGAAAAUAAACAUGCUUCUUUUCGGUUUGUGGAAGUCAAUUAUUUAAAAAGGCUGUAGAAAAUCUCAUUGGCAGGAAGUUGUUUCAUAUUUUCUAGAGCCAUUUAAAACUACUUGUUGGGGUCUCUGAUUGUGUCAACAAGUUGUUAAGCUCAUAAAUGAAUCUGUUUAACAUAGAUAGUCGGAAUGUACAAUCAAAGGGGGGUCAUGCCUCCUGUAGUUUUUAGUGUUUACUUUCUCAUCUCAGUGCAGAAUUGUCUCCUUUGUUUAUGUAUCCAGAUUGACUUCGUCUGUUAUUUUGCCGACCAGCUGUUCAAAGCUUCUCACUGUUUGCAUGUACUUGCACAUCAGUAAAGAGGGUCUUGACGGCCUAAAAUGCAGACUUCCCUACUCUUUUUGUGAUAAGCGGACCUGGAAUAAUUUAUUAUUUAUAUAAGACAAUAUGAUGUUCACAAUGAUGCACAUGCUUCAGAUUGACUAUAUAGAUCCUAUGAUUAAAGAGGGACAAGUUUACUAUAUGGAGGUAUACGAGAUAUGAGCUUGAGGCGCUCUUAGUGGCGCGCCGUUGUGGGAGGCGCAUGCGCUAUGGUGGGCCGAGGUGUGUACUACGUGGGAGACGUGAGGAAAAUGCUCAAUUCCUAUUUUGAUGGAUGGUAUGAGAAACAAUAUAUGAAGACUUGGUUAUUUCUUUCAGUUGAGACGUUCAAUGAGAAUUUAGCACUUACAUAAUGAGAGAGCGGGAAUUCAGCCCUGAAGAAAGCACUGGCAAAUGAACCGGCAUAUAUUUCAUCACUUGGUUCUUCUAUCUAUGAAGCAAUGCCAAGAGGUAACAAGGAUGCAGUGUGGAUAAUGCAGGGGCUGACCUCAGCAAGGCUACGCCAUCCAAAAGGGAAAUGAAUAUGAAGGACAAAACAUAAAACUAUGUACACCCCAUCUGCCUCCAAUUUUUUACUGUCUAAUGCUCAGUAUGACUCUUUACAAGUUUAUUUCAGUUCAUCUCGCCUGGGAAUGUGGUGUUUCUUCUGGACACUAUUUUUGUGGAUCAAGUGGUACAAAGCUUGGUAAGGUUUUAGUCAUGCUGGUUGCAGUUGUUAAUGUUGGUUGGACUCUGCUCCAAAUCAAGCUCAACAUCUGCUACUGGUUUCAGUUCGGUUGAGGCAGAGCGAAGGAUGAGUGUAGAACCAAAAGGAUGAGAAUAAUGUUUGGUGCAUCAAAUAGAGAAUUGUUGUUAGAGAAAGGUUUCAAACUCAACAAAUGUAAAAUUUGGUACUGUCAUGUACCAACCCAUAUUAUUUUCUCUUUUUUCUUCAAGCAGUAAGCCUAGAUUGUGCUUUUUCCUUUAAUGUUUAUAGGAAUUUGCAUAUUCAAUUUAAAUCUAAAAAUAUAUUCCUUGGGAUCAUCUUUCAUAUGAAUAACCUAACAUAUAAAUUAUAUGUUACAUGAAAGAAUGGUGAUCUUGUGUUUGAGCCAUUAUUUGGAAACUUAUGCCAAAGCAUAAUUAAGCCUAUAGAAAAAUUUCAUGUCUACAAAUUACAAACCUAAAAUAUAUGUACUUUCAAAGAUUUUUAUUUUCCACUCCAUCAAGAUUUUGCUGAUCUCGAUUUGUUUUUGUUACUGCUCAUCCCGACGCUUGUGUUUGCUGCAGGUCAAUAGAGACGAUUAUAUUGAGAUAGAUUGGUUCAUUUUAUGUAGACCAUACACCAGCCAUAUGUAUCAUAGCUUUUUAUUUAUCUUACCUCUUCUUAUACAAUAAUAUAUCACUAAUGCUAAUGCAGCUUAUUGCAAUCUUGUGUUGUAGUAUUUCCCCCUUAUAUAGUAUGUGUCUCACAAGCUUAUUCUAUGGCAAACAAUGUGUGAGGUUUCAGAUUCUGUAAUUUUUAGACAUAAAGGGUUGCAUGAAUAUUUUACAGGUGGGAACACAAGACAUAUAAUUUGGAGCAUUUGAUCCAUAGAUUCUGUAAUUUGUUACUUCAAUUUUUUUCAUAAAUUAUGCUUGUCUAGAGGAAGAUAGUAGCAUGGCUUGUACUUUAGGUCUGUAGGAACACAAGACAUAUAAUUUGGAGCAUAUGAAUACUCUCCGCCGUCACUGAUCUUAAUUUUGAAACGUUUCUCACUGAUCUUCGGAUUGAAAAGUUGCAGCACUUAUUACAUUUUAUCAUUUUACCUGAAGAUGUAACAUGAAAAAUUGCAGUAUUUGUCUGGAAAAUUAAUUUGCUCUCACAUCUGAAGUCGUGUCUAUCCUGUAGCUUGGCACUAGUUAGUUUGGUUCAUUAAACCCAAGUACAAUAUGAAACUUCGUUGCCAACUUUGAAAUCCCAUACUGGAUUCCGAUCACAUUGGUCUAAUUUUAUCAUUUUGGCCCUGUGCAGUUUUUAACAUUUCAGUUUUGCUGUGUUUGAGGGUAGAGGCGCUGAUUAUUUGUUCCAUAUAUGUACUUUUUUGUUCUGUUCAGUUGCGUGCAUGACAAAAUGUAGUUUUCAGUAGCAUGACUGUUGAUUACUAAUUGCUAUGGCAUUUUAUUUUCUGAUACAUCUAAAGCGUCCAAUGCGAUUUGCUUCACUGCAAGUAAUAUGGAUGAAGAACUGAGGGCAGCGUUUGGUCAAACAAUUCCGGUAGGAAAUUGGUUUUCGCAAAUGCCCAAAUUGUGGUAAAGGCAGUAAAGGUAAGUUAAGAGUCUUUCGGUUACAUGAAGAAUAAAGACUAUAUUUAUGAUGAUUGAUGCGGGAAAUGGACUCAGUACUUCACUUACAUGUUGUACAUAAUGAGAAGGGUUCGUUUUCUAGAAUUAUUAUAAAUGUGAUACAGAUUCUGGUAUAACCUUCGGUUGGCUACAAUUCAUGUCGAAGAUACAAUGCAGAAGCAUGAUAUGAAUGUGUGCCAACUCAACAAAACAAAAUGUUGCUCUAUGAAUCAUUGUUUAAAGUGAUUCAGUAUCAGUUCAUCUCUUAAGAUCAUUGCACCAUCAAGCAUCUUCCUCGUAGCAUUGGCUGCAGCCAUUUUCUAUAGAAAAAUUAUAGUAACCAUGCAUUUAUGUUUCUUUAGUUUGAUUUUAGCAUUUGUUUCAAUGAAUUUGAAGGUACUGGCAUAGCGGAGUUAUUGUGGUAUAUGCCAGCAUGUUUCACGCUGUCACACGAGCUGUCGAUAACUCGAUAUGCUAUGAGUUGUCCUUCUGAUGAAGAACUUUUGCUUACAUCUCAAUUUUCAUUGUGUCAGGAGGACAAAUACUAAUACUAUCUCCUUUGGUCUUUUGGCUGUCCCUCAGGCCGUGAAUGUUGCUACUGGGGUGAAGGAGAACAUCCAGCUCAUGAGGGGGCUUCACAUGGUCACCGAUAUCCAAUACCUUGAUUGUCGUGAGGCGCUCGUGUGGAAGUGCAAGAUGGACUAAGAGGAAUCACAGAAGUACAAGGAAUGGAAGUUCAUAUUUGAGAAGGCAAAUAUUGUACAUCAGAAUUAGUAGUAAAUAAAAAAGUCAAAGAUGUGCCAAAAUACUAUGAUGGAGAUGUGAAUUGUGAUCCAUGCCUUAAAUUUAGAUAAAAAAAUCUUAUGAUUUUUGUGUUCA